rnacentral:rRNA from 1 species
AGGACGAACGCUGGCGGCGUGCUUAACACAUGCAAGUCGAGCGGAAAGGCCCUUCGGGGUACUCGAGCGGCGAACGGGUGAGUAACACGUGAGCAACCUGCCCUUAGCUCCGGGAUAGCUCCGGGAAACCGGAAUUAAUACCGGAUACGACCACGGCCGACAUCUGCUGUGGUGGAAAGGAUUCCGGCUAAGGAUGGGCUCGCGGCCUAUCAGCUAGUUGGUGGAGUAACGGCCCACCAAGGCGACGAC